rnacentral:lncRNA from 1 species
AGGAUUACAAGUAAAAAGUUGCAUCCAAUCAACCUUACAUCCUUUAAAAAAUUCUAAUUAAUUCUCCCGUCUGUCAUGAGAAACUAGCCAAUAUAGAAAAUCAUCUCAUGUAUAGAAAAAGAAAUAUGUACUCAAUUAUCGCCAAUUCAAUAUUUUCAAUUAGGCCCUAUUUUCGCUUAUCUUCUUUUCUAGGUCUCGACAUUAAGUGCAUAAUCACUUUGGUAGUUACAUAGUAAAGCCGCCAUGUCAUUCCUGCCAAGAGUUGACUGCAACAGAUAAUAAACCUUUUUUUUUUUUUGGUAAUUGAUAAUAAACCUCAAAUAGCUACAUCUAUCUUUCCUGUCUGCAUAACUCCCCAAGAGAAUCUGGGUCUCUUCUCUACUGGUUUCUUCUGAAUGGUCAGUUUUAGCAAUUGAAAUACUACACAAUCUCUAUGCCACUCUACUGCAAAUUGACUUGCAACGUUCACAAACAACUAAUUAAUUUUCAAUGGUCAAGAGUCCAAGAAAUCUGAUACUAGUCUAAAUCUUGAUACAGAACAGCAAAUGACUCCUAAAAA